GACGAACGCUGGCGGCGUGCUUAACACAUGCAAGUCGAACGGAAAGGCCCUGCUUUUGUGGGGUGCUCGAGUGGCGAACGUGUGAGUAACACGUGAGUAACCUGCCCUUGACUUUGGGAUAACUUCAGGAAACUGGGGCUAAUACCGGAUAGGAGCUCCUGCUGCAUGGUGGGGGUUGGAAAGUUUCGGCGGUUGGGGAUGGACUCGCGGCUUAUCAGCUUGUUGGUGGGGUAGUGGCUUACCAAGGCUUUGACGGGUAGCCGGCCUGAGAGGGUGACCGGCCACAUUGGGACUGAGAUACGGCCCAGACUCCUACGGGAGGCAGCAGUGGGGAAUAUUGCACAAUGGGCGGAAGCCUGAUGCAGCACCGCCGCGUGCGGGAUGACGGCCUUCGGGUUGUAAACCGCUUUCGCCUGUGACGAAGCGUGAGUGACGGUAAUGGGUAAAGAAGCACCGGCUAACUACGUG
rnacentral:rRNA from 1 species